UACGGAGGGGGCGAGCGUUAUUCGGAAUUAUUGGGCGUAAAGGGCGCGUAGGCGGCUGUACAAGUCAAAGGUGAAAUCCCUCGGCUCAACUGAGGAACUGCCUUUGAAACUGUACGGCUUGAGGCCGGGAGGGGGUAGCGGAAUUCCCAGUGUAGCGGUGAAAUGCGUAGAUACUGGGAGGAACACCAGUGGCGAAGGCGGCUACCUGGACCGGUUCUGACGCUGAGGCGCGAAAUCGUGGGGAGCAAACAGG
rnacentral:rRNA from 1 species